GACGAACGCUGGCGGCGUGCUUAACACAUGCAAGUCGAACGGAAAGGCCCUGCUUUUGUGGGGUGCUCGAGUGGCGAACGGGUGAGUAACACGUGAGUAACCUGCCCUUGACUUUGGGAUAACUUCAGGAAACUGGGGCUAAUACCGGAUAGGAGCUCCUGCUGCAUGGUGGGGGUUGGAAAGCUUCGGCGGUUGGGGAUGGACUCGCGGCUUAUCAGCUUGUUGGUGGGGUAGUGGCUUACCAAGGCUUUGACGGGUAGCCGGCCUGAGAGGGUGACCGGCCACAUUGGGACUGAGAUACGGCCCAGACUCCUACGGGAGGCAGCAGUGGGGAAUAUUGCACAAUGGGCGGAAGCCUGAUGCAGCAACGCCGCGUGCGGGAUGACGGCCUUCGGGUUGUAAACCGCUUUCGCCUGUGACGAAGCGUGAGUGACGGUAAUGGGUAAAGAAGCACCGGCUAACUACGUGCCAGCAGCCGCGGUGAUACGUAGGGUGCGAGCGUUGUCCGGAUUUAUUGGGCGUAAAGGGCUCGUAGGUGGUUGAUCGCGUCGGAAGUGUAAUCUUGGGGCUUAACCCUGAGCGUGCUUUCGAUACGGGUUGACUUGAGGGAGGUAGGGGAGAAUGGAAUUCCUGGUGGAGCGGUGGAAUGCGCAGAUAUCAGGAGGAACACCAGUGGCGAAGGCGGUUCUCUGGGCCUUUCCUGACGCUGAGGAGCGAAAGCGUGGGGAGCGAACAGGCUUAGAUACCCUGGUAGUCCACGCUGUAAACGGUGGGUACUAGGUGUGGGGUCCAUUCCACGGGUUCCGUGCCGUAGCUAACGCUUUAAGUACCCCGCCUGGGGAGUACGGCCGCAAGGCUAAAACUCAAAGGAACUGACGGGGCCCCGCACAAGCGGCGGAGCAUGCGGAUUAAUUCGAUGCAACGCGUAGAACCUUACCUGGGUUUGACAUGGAUCGGGAGUGCUCAGAGAUGGGUGUGCCUCUUUUGGGGUCGGUUCACAGGUGGUGCAUGCCUGUCGUCAGCUCGUGUCGUGAGAUGUUGGGUUAAGUCCCGCAACGAGCGCAACCCUUGUUCACUGUUGCCAGCACGUUAUGGUGGGGACUCAGUGGAGACCGCCGGGGUCAACUCGGAGGAAGGUGGGGAUGACGUCAAGUCCUCAUGCCCCUUAUGUCCAGGGCUUCACGCAUGCUACAAUGGCUGGUACAGAGAGUGGCGAGCCUGUGAGGGUGAGCGAAUCUCGGAAAGCCGGUCUCAGUUCGGAUUGGGGUCUGCAACUCGACCUCAUGAAGUCGGAGUCGCUAGUAAUCGCAGAUCAGCAACGCUGCGGUGAAUAAGUUCCCGGGGCU
rnacentral:rRNA from 1 species